rnacentral:sRNA from 1 species
UGGGAUGAGCUUGGAGUCCCUGUUUCAGCACAUCAUCUUCACCGAGCAUCAGGCGGAGGAGAGUCGCCGUUUGAUGCGAGAAGUAAGGUCGGAAAUAACCAGAUGUCGUGAAAAAAUUAAGAAAGCAACGGAGGAGCUGAAUGAAGAGAAAAUCAAGCUGGAAUCUAAGCUUUUUAAAGCUCAUGAAAAUGCCUUAGAAAAACAGUACAGUGAAAUUACAAACCAUAGGAAUAUGCUUCUUCAAACUUUUGAGGCUAUAAAGAAACAAAUGAUAGAGGAGGAAGACAAAUUUAUUAAGGAAAUUACAGACUUUAAUAAUGAGUAUGAAAUAACAAAGAAAAGAGAGCUUUUGAUGAAAGAAAAUGUCAAGAUUGAAAUAUCUGACUUAGAAAACCAAGCAAACAUUUUGAAAAGUGGUAUGAAUAAAUAUUAUCACCUCAUUGUCUUGCAUUAAUGAAAAUAACUUAUUUUGAAUGAAUGAAUUUUCCAAAAAUUU